AUCUAUCUGUUUACUUGCCGCUUAAAAUUUUCAUCUUUGAUCCUAUCCUAUCCAAUCCAAUCAUUCAAUCGCUGUGCCGUCCAACCUUGUUUUCUUCGCCUCCAUCUCUCUCUAUAUAAAACUAUUCUUCAUUAUUCUUAUUUUUCAAACAUGACUUCCACAGUGUACCCCCCACCUUCAACUGCACCUCUUCCUCCUGCUGGUUAUCCUACCAAUCAAGAUAAUCCAAAUUACCCUCAAAAUGUUGCAGGGGAAACAAAAUCCAAGGGUGAUGGAUUCUGGAAAGGAUGUUGUGCUGCAUUGUGUUGCUGCUGUGUCUUGGAUGCUUGUUUCUAAUCAUUCAGAGAUUGCAUACAUAGGAUUUUCUGAUGUCUCUUGAAUACUAAUAAUGCUUAGUUUUUGCUUUCAUUUUAUUUAUGUAAUUAAAUUUCAAAGUUCUUCAAUGCACUGUGCUUUUUUUUGUGUGUCUAUUCCAAGGAAUUGUUGCCAAUCAGUAUGGCGCUUUUAAUCCAAAAA